UACGUAGGGGGCUAGCGUUGUCCGGAUUUAUUGGGCGUAAAGAGCGUGUAGGCGGCCAGAUAGGUCUGCUGUGAAAACUCUGGGCUCAACCCAGAGCCUGCAUCUGAAACUGGAGAGCUAGGGUUUUGGAGGGGAAAGCGGAAUUCCUGGUGUAGCGGUGAAAUGCGUAGAUAUCUGGAGGAAUACCGGUGGCGAAGGCGGCAUCCUGGACCGGCAUUGACGCUGAGUGAGCGAAAGCCAGGGGAGCAAACGGG
rnacentral:rRNA from 1 species